rnacentral:misc_RNA from 1 species
CUACCGAUGUCCUCGAGGACUCUUUGGGUUUGUUAUUUUUCUGAGUCGUCAGCUACCGUGAGAGUCGCUCGCUUUGCUGCUGAACCCUAGAACUUGCCAAGGCAUCUGUUGGUGCGCGUGUUAGCUAUUGUUUUAGCCAAUCAUUUGCUUUACAAGAAAAGAUCUGAUGAAUCUGUGUUACGUUCCUUCUUUGUUUAAACCUAGGUAAUGUUUUCUAUUAUACACUAACCUCUGUUUUCUUUGUUUCUUGUUCUUUUUCUCAGGGAUAGGACCUCCCAGCGAGAGGACCCACAAUGGGUUAGAUCCCAUAGUGCAACUUACGCUCUGGAUGUGAGUUCGUAUACUUUGAAGGGGACGUCGACCUGAGACCUUCAGUAGAGAUAGCAUCACAACAUUUGGGGAGACGCUCCGCGACGAGGCUGAAGGAGAACAAGUACUAGACGCACCGUGCACGGUUUCUAUCAAAGGGGCAAGAUGGCAGAGGUUCUGAUUGGUAGCCUUAUGAUUGGGAAUUGCAGUGACCGGUUGUGUGUCCGUGUCUCCCGUAUGUGGGAAUUUUAUGAUCCUCAGGAUGAGUCCAAUCUCCUCCACGCUGAUAUGGUCCUCAUCGAUGAGGAGGGUGGCAGUGCUCAUGCUCAAAUAUACCCUCCACUCGCUGCCGUUUUCAAGCCCAUGAUAAAGGAGGGCAAUGUCUACAACGUCUCCUAUGUUCAGAUCAAGAAAGCAAAUAGGAUGUACAAGCCUGUUGACAAUGAUAUCAUGAUCGGUUUCACAAAAUGGACGACAAUUGAGGAGCUUAUUGAAGUGCCACCGGCUUUUCC